GGCAAACCUGAAAAAAUUUAGUGGCUGAUGUUCCUUCAUGCCUCAAAUGCUAGUCAAAGUUAGCCAUGCCCAGGCACUCAAAGACUCUACAUGAAGCCAUCAAUGAUUUCAAACACUACUCUGAUCGAACGACCCUUUUGUACGAGCGAACUAAAAAUGCUUUGAUGAGAUCGAGGAACCUAUUCAUCUCGGUCAACAGGCAGGCUCUGAAAAUUUGAUUGCCUCCUCGCAGUUAAAUGAGGAGGAGAGAACUUAGGAAGACACCGUCUUUGAUCUUCAUCGGCGAAAGAAAUUGCGGCAAAAGCUCUAUAAUUAAUAAACUCCUAAAACAGACUAACCGACCAGUUCACGAGAACCCUUGCUCGUGCGAAUCAAACACGCGGAUGAGUUGAGCGCAAGGCUCGUUCAAAGACAAAAAACUUUGAAGUGGUCUCAGGCAAAGGCAGAGAGAAUCCAAAGCUUUAGACGCUACUGUAAAGGUCGGAUUAAACCACGAGCUUCUGAAAAGUGGAAUUGAGUUGGUGGAUUCACCUGGAAAGAACAAGACGGACGUGUCGGACAGUGUUAGAGGAUUUCCUCGAGAAAGGCACAGUUCCUCUUUUUGUGUACGUAAUUGACGGCAAGAUGCGUCUCAGACCUUCGAGGUUGGCUUCAUGUAAUUUUCCAAAGGCCUUACAAGUUUUGUUUUCCAACUUCUUGUAUCAAGGUAAUCGAACCGGAUAUAACAACAUAAUCCUUUUUGAAGGAUAAAUCUCCUCAAUCUUCCAUCAUUUUUGUCUGAAAUAAAGUAGACAUUGAGGCAACAGGACCGGUUGACGAUGAUGACGACGACGAUGAUGAUGACGACGAUGAGGAAGAUGAAGAAGACGAGGACAACGAGAGAGAUGGGAGCAACGAAAUUGAGGGCAUAAGUGAGAAACAAAACAAAGAGGAAGUUGUCUUCAAUCAGCUGAAGAGCAGGGACUUCAUCACAGGAGAAUCUAGCAAAACAUGCGACUUAUUCCAUACCAUUUCUGUAAAUUCUUCAAAUUCUUCAAAUUCUUCUCGCUCACAUCAUGAAAACACAGACUAAAAGGAUCGUUCAAGCCCUCCUGGUUUUACAAGAAAGCUUUGUGAACGUUGUCCAGCUGCAAAGAUCCCAAAUCACUCAGGAAGCAUUCAUCGUACCAGAAAUUACGAGACAGGCGUGCCAGAUAGAAAGUAAAAUGUUCGACUCGUUAAAAUCCUUUACAUCCAGUGAUUCCGAGGAUACAAAGCAGAGAUUACAGGAACAUAUAAAGUCGUUUAAGGAAGAAUUUUCUCAGGAUGCUUUACAUUACAAAAUUCCAAACCAGCGUACCAUGCCAAAGAAAGCUCAGACUAUGAUCAAGACAGAUCUUAAAGUUGCAUUUUCGCCCGAACAAUUAUCAGAAAUGAACAGGGAGGACUUUAUUUUGGAGCGAUUUCUCGGUGAUAUGAAAGGUGUUUCUAUCAACCAUGGAAUUUCUUGGUUUGUUUGUCUAAUUUGAUGAUUCAUGUUUUUUAAGAUAUUUUAGGAAGCUCACGGUUUUUCCUUUCAGUAAGUAAGUACCGUAAUAGCAUCACACAUUUUCCGAGUUUUCUUGAGUGCUUCUGCCAUAAUUUAUCACCAGAAUGGGAAGAUUUGAAAAGACUCGCACUGUUCAUGUUUUGUUUUGUUGCCAUCAAACCAGACUUAUAACAUUCGACUCACAAUCAACUCCUUACUUAGCUCUGAUGAUGACUUUGCAAGGUUUUUGCUACUUAAGUCACUGUUAUCAGUGAAAUUCUUUUUGGGGACUCUCCUUAGCUGGAAGAUCACAACACACGAUCGUUUGGUUUGUUUGUUUGCUUGUGCAUUACUAAUCUUUGCUUUUGCUCAUGCAAUCAUCUAAACUUUUGAUUACCGUGUAAAAAGACUGCAAGCAGCAGUGGAAAAUGGAAUUCUACUAUGUAAGGAUGAUAAAGAAUUCCAGAUUCCGCCAGUGAGUGAAGCGUGUUGGAGCUUAAUGACAAGGUGCUGGGAGGACAGAGCAUCCAUGACAAGGGAUAUUAUUAUUACUGAUUUAAAAGCCAUAAGGGAAACAGUAGAAACCCGUUAACUCAAUGGUGAUGUUGCUUGAACUUCCCUAAGCAACAUCACCAUGUUGUUAAUCGUAUAGAGUUAAGUUUAUCAAGAGCUGUUAUAAUUGUGCGCUAUAAAAGUAGAAUACUAAAGAGUAGUAUAAAGCAGAAAAUGAAGCGUUGAUAUUUAUUUUU